rnacentral:rRNA from 1 species
AACGAACGCUGGCGGCAGGCCUAACACAUGCAAGUCGAGCGAGGACUUCGGUUCUAGCGGCGGACGGGUGAGUAACGCGUGGGAAGGUGCCCUUCUCUACGGAAUAGCCCUGGGAAACUGGGAGUAAUACCGUAUACGCCCUAUUGGGGAAAGAUUUAUCGGAGAAGGAUCAGCCCGCGUUGGAUUAGGUAGUUGGUGGGGUAAUGGCCUACCAAGCCGACGAUCCAUAGCUGGUUUGAGAGGAUGAUCAGCCAGACUGGGACUGAGACACGGCCCAGACUCCUACGGGAGGGAGCAGUGGGGAAUCUUAGACAAUGGGGGCAACCCUGAUCUAGCCAUGCCGCGUGAGUGAUGAAGGCCUUAGGGUUGUAAAGCUCUUUCAGCUGGGAAGAUAAUGACGGUACCAGCAGAAGAAGCCCCGGCUAACUCCGUG